GCCGACUCGCGUCAUGCCGCGCCUGCCUCUCCGCCGAACGGACGAACAACGUCGUAGACCGGCCCGUUGACGUUACGCAGACAUAAUCGCGCACCAAGUUCGCCUACACGAGCGGAUGUGCCACCGUGUGGCAAAGAGCUACGUCGUCACGGAUGACAAGGAGCGUAGCCUGUAGAACUACAAAUGCGAGGUGUCGGGCGUUUUUCCGAAGGCUACUGGAAGAUGCUAAACAAUGAUUAUUAUGCGUCCUUCGUAUUUCAAAUCGACGCCUCAAGGUUCCACGUCUAAUUGUAAUAUGCGUAUAUGAGAAGCAUCGUUGGAAGUCAAGGUUCGUUUAAGAGACGUCGAGGAGUCUGCCAUUCUACGGGAAGGUCUGGCCGACGCUGGCUUCACUCAUCACCGAUAAAAAUGAAAGCAUCGUAGGCCCGAAGUGGUAGGGCGGUGACGUGGACAGCGCGCGUUAAGAGAGCGAGAGGAGACAAAGCGAGAAAACGGCGAGAACGGUCGUACGGCUCGACACGAGAGAGAAAGACGACGACGACAGGCAACGUGGUGAUAUCGCAAGUGGGAGAGAACUCGCGCGGUAAACUCGCAACCGUGCUGACGUACAGGAUGCCGCAAAAGUCGCCUGGCUUCUUUCUGGUGCUAACACUCUUCGAUCAUUGAAUCCCGACAUGAUCGCUAUUGCCAUUGCCAAGAUUGUUUUAUUAGGGUUCUUGUUACAACUGCUUUUACCACAAACACUUACACUUGCUUCCUCGCUUUCUCUCUUUCCUUCAACGCGAUUUGAUAUAUAUUAUUGUUAUUGCGAUUACAUCAUGACUGUAUGUGAAUCAACGUGUAUCAAAUUAUUUCCGCAUAUAGCGCGGGCGGCACGCCGCGACGCGAGCCGAGAAAGUAGCCAAAUAGAUGCGAACCGGUUCGCAAUCCUUCUCCUAGUCGUCACGCCGCGGAAAAAAAAAGGGAAAGAGGAGUCGCAGGAAGAAAGAGAGAGAAUGCGGGGAUACCUUGUUGAAAAAGGAUAACGCGCAGUAAUCAUCUUCGAAACUUUAAUAGCUUCCUCCGUUUGUGCUCUGAUGUCUCUGUCGCAGAGAUCUUGAUCGCGCGAUCGUAAUUUUUCGCGCACUUGAUCGUUUAACGUCAAGUGUGGAUCACACGGAAUGACACGGGAAUUUUGUCACCAAUUGUCAGUAAAAUGAGAUCGCAAUUACAUACAGGCUGAUUAUUAACGUCAUUUUGGAUGUCGAGAAGCAAUAGUUGUUGUGAUUAACUUGUCUAAGGGUACGGUCAAUAUGAUGCUGCAAAUGCUUUGAAACAUCUUUUAAUUGGUCAAUUUGUAAAAUUCUUUAUUUUAAUUGAUUAAUCAAACGCUUUAAAUUAUUUGUAGCGAGACUUUGACCGCAGCCUAAGUUGAAUCGUAUAUUAAUUGUUAAUUGAAUGGUCUAAUGAGCGUUUGUCAAAUAUAUUGAAAAACUUGGAUCUGAGCGUUUAAACUGUAAUUAUUUAAAUUGAAUUACGCAAGAAUCUUAUUAGCUAUUAUUCUUAUGUAACUUACGUAACGAUACUGAUGUUACAUGCGAAGUGAACAAUACGAAAAUCUAACUUCUUCUAAGCAGUCGUUACAGUAAUACUGUUAUAUACAAAUGAAGCUAAUACGUUAAAAGGUGACAUAUUAAGAUAUUCAUCUUAAUAACUUUUCUACCGCGAAUAAGACAUCAUUGAAACGUCAUUCACAUAAUUUCGUUUGCUGGAUUGCGCGUUCACGAGUUACACCGGAAACGGAUGCUCGGAGAAUAAUCGCUGUCGGUGGAAGAAUACGCGAGAGAAUUCGAAGAUAAUUUAAGAAGUAAUUAAAUUCAUUUGUGUUCUUUGAUUUUCUGGGACGCUGUUUCAGCUUGGAUCUUAUCGAAAAAAAUCAGAAAAGCUCACGUCGGACUUGGAACAUCUUUCCUUAUCACACUUGAAUUUCUAGAUCCAAAUUUUUCGAAAUUUAGAUUGCGCGUCAAGCGAAGGAAUUUUAUCAAUUUAAGCCCGAUAUUUUAAAUUGUGUCGUAUGACAAAAUUUUUAAGCAAGAUUUUUUUGGUUGGUUACAGAAUAGAAAAAUUUCCAAAUUUGUAGAAAUGCUUUAUCUUACAGCCAAUCGAUAAUGUCCUACGUGUCGUACGAUACAUGAAAUAUCAGCUUUACGAUAUCAUGUGCAUCUAGAUUUAUUUGUUUUUGAUAAUUCGCAUUCUUAAUAUCAAUAUCUCAUUUCGUAAUAAUGAGAUACAGUGAUGCAUACAAGUAU